GCGGGAAUAGCUCAGCUGGUAGAGCGCCACGUUGCCAACGUGGUUGUCGCGGGUUCAAGUCCCGUUUCCCGCUCCA
rnacentral:tRNA from 1 species